rnacentral:rRNA from 1 species
UACGGAGGGGACUAGCGUUGUUCGGAAUUACUGGGCGUAAAGCGCACGUAGGCGGAUUUGUAAGUCAGGGGUGAAAUCCCGGGGCUCAACCUCGGAACUGCCUUUGAUACUGCAAAUCUCGAGUCCGGAAGAGGUGAGUGGAAUUCCUAGUGUAGAGGUGAAAUUCGUAGAUAUUAGGAAGAACACCAGUGGCGAAAGCGGCUCACUGGUCCGGUACUGACGCUGAGGUGCGAAAGCGUGGGGAGCAAACAGG